AAAAGAACAAAAAAAGACAAAGAGAAAGAAAAGAAACUACACGUAUAAUACAUAACUUAGAAGCAGCGCUACGGAUGUGCCAACACACACG